UACGGUACCCCGGACUGGGCAAAGGAAAGAAGGAAGGACUGUGCAUUUAAAGGAAUGAAAUGCUAUGCCUGGCAGCUGCUACACCCUCUCAGCCAGCUGAAUUACCAUACUCCUUCAUUUGGAGCACACUUAAAAAAGUUGCUAUUAAGAACAAUGCAUUGUCAACUGACAAAUUCAUAAAUUAGAGAUAUAGGAAUCUUUUUUAGAGUUUUUCCAUACACUAUGCAAAGAAGCUAAUGGUGCACGCUGUCAGAAAAGAAGUAACACUACGGAUACUACUAAUACAGCCUUUAAUCAGUAUCACACCUUCCCCCCAUAUGA